CUGCAAGGCGGUGGUGGCACCCCCUGAAGACAGGCCGGGGUAGGCCAGGCCCAUGAUGCCAUCAAAUUGGGCAUAGACAAAAUUGGUACCAGGCUCAUUCUCACUCAGGCCAAACUCCUGGUUGGGAACCUGAAUGCUUUGGACCUGGGGACGGAGGUUAAAAUACAGGAUAGUGACAACCCAGACUAGACUUCCCUCCUCCAGACCCUUUCCCCAGAGACGUCUUGUUCAUCCCCAUCCCCACCUUGGUAAGUCUGGCAGGAGCCAUACUCUCUUUCCAGGGCCAGCUCUAACAGUAUCAGAAUCUCUGCCCCUGUCCCACCCCUCUCUCCUCAGCAGAGCUUAUGUUCCUGAAGGAAAAUGGCCACAACCAAAGGGUUCAUCAUGGCUUCCCUGGCUCCUGACAUGAAAUGAAGGUCAGCAGGGUGAAUGGGCCUCUAAGCACGCCUUUAUCCCACGGCCUCCACCCCUUCAAGAAGCUGCCUACACCAAGAUCCUGAGUGGCAUGAGAUAGGACCAAAGAGAGACUCCUUGGACCAGAGGCAAUAGGAUUCCAAGGCUCUUCCGUGGACCGAACUACUGCAGGACAAGACCACAUCCAGUAUUGCUCCAACCCAUCCUUUAGACAUGCAUGAUGCAAGCAUGAGAGGACUCUACACUUCAGGAUUUCUCUGGUUAAACCUUCGCGGGAGCCACACCAUUCACCUCUACUGUGGUUGCACAAACGCAAGCUUAUGGGAGGAUAAGCUGGCCUUUCACCCCAGAAACUACCAGGUCGCAGGCCUGGUGAGAGGGCUCAGCAGGGAAAGGUGCUGCUGCCAAGCCUGAAGGCUUGUGUGUAGUUCCUAGCACCGUACGGUAGAAGGAGGCCCUGACUCCUGCCAUCUGUCCUCUGACCUCCACAUGUAUUCAGUGGCACAUGUACACUCACCUCCCCACCCCACAUACACAAGAUCAAUUUUAAAACGAGAAACUUGAGUUGUAAUUUAAAAAAAAAAAAAGAAAUCGCGAGCUAUCAAAUUUUACAGAUGCUCAAAUCCCUGGGUAUUACUUAUGACCUGCAUGAAUCCUCCCCACCACUUCAAAGUCUCUGUAGGUCACUAUUAAUACCUACAAAGGGACUAAAGGCAUGGCUCAGUGGUUAAAAAGCACUGUUUGCCGGGUUGGGGAUUUAGUUCAGUGGUAGAGCGCUUGCCUAGCAAGCGCAAGGCCCUCGGUUUGGUCCCCAGCUCCGGAAAAAAAAAAAAAAAGCACUGUUUGCUUUCCCAGAAGAGCAGGCUUCAAGUCUCAACACCUACAACCUGUUGUAAUGUCUAUCCCAGGGGAUCUGACACCUCCACGGGCACCGGGCACCGGGCUCCAGGUUCCCACGUAAGGCUCUCGGAGCCUAGAGCCGUUCUCUGGUCUCACCUGAGCAGGGAUGCCUCCAAGAGCGGGAGGCAGAGCAAGGCUACUACCAUCCACUUCAUGAUGCCGGUUUGCAGCUGGUCUCACAGGAAGAAAUCCCUUCGAGCUCAACCGUUGCGGUGGAGUGAAGAUCUGAGCAGGACGCCUUCCUUUUAUAUUAGCCAGGAGCUAGCCCAGCCCCCUGACUCCCCUGGGCAAGCAUGACCCUCCUCUCCCGCCCCGCCCCAAACCAAGAUGUCCCUUGGACUGCGUGUAUCAAUGGUUUCUGUGUGUUUUUCCUUCUGGAGCAGGACCAGAUCACUUUUCAUCUUAUUGACUUUUUUAAUUCAAGCAGGGAAGGCCAGGAGGUAAAAGCGAUUGGAAGAACAAAGCAGCCGCACAGUGGAGUGGCAAAGAUUCAUUACUCACUGCCUUGGGAAACAGAGGUGCGAUACAGGCCUUUGGGCUUGAAGAAGGGGCCAUGAUGGUUGGUUCCUCGAGCUAGGGCUAGUGUCAUUUGGAAACAAAUAAGUCUUUGUUUCUGGGCCUUGUCCUGUUCCCUGUAGGGUGCUAACAGGAACCUCAUCUCCCCACUAAAUGCCAAGAGCAGACCCCCACCUCCACCCCAGGCUGUAGCCACCAAAAUGUCUUCAGACAUUGCUUGUUUCCCCUCAGAGACAAGUCCUUGAGGACCCACCAGCAGGCGACAUACUUGGAGGUCCGACUUAAGUCUUGUUUCCCAAUCCCCCUUAAGCUUCUGGGAGCUAGAGUUCAGAGGGUCGGGGGCUAAAGGGCCGAGAACCAGUCUGAUGGCUAGGUUCGCAGUGGUAGCAGUCUGUGGUGGCAGUACUGAUGCGGAGACCGGAGCUGGCAGAUGACGUCAGAGUAGAGUGGGAAGCUUUUGGCAUUUCAGCCAGGAAUCACUCCCAGAGGAGAACCACACCAUACGGGCUAUAUGAACUGUAUCCUCAGAGCAGGGCGUGGACAGAGGGGCCACACCGGCACCUUGCUGUUUCUCCUGUUGCCUCUUUUCCCUCUCUGUUGCUACCUGGAAGCUUUAUUUGGUUGGGGGCUUGGGGGUUGAACCUAGGUUCUCAUAUGUGCCAGUCAACUCUGAACUACACCCCAGUCUGUUUCGUGGAUGUGUUCGCGUGGUGCAUGUGCGUGUUCACAUACAUGUGCACCUGCAUUCAUCUAUGCAGGUACAUGCAGAAGGCAGAGGCUGGUGUGAGAAUGUCUUCUUCGGUUGUGUAUCUACCUUAUUUUUUACACUUGAUCUUAGCCAAAAGGCUGAGAAGCGAUACCUUAUUUUUUUGAUUUUCAAAUAAAUUUCAAUGUUUUACU